ACCAUAAUAAAGUCAUACAAAGUUUAGUUAAAAUCAACAUGCCUUCAAACCAAAAACAUAAAUGGUUCAACCUAAAAAGCAAUGCAACAUCAAAAAUGUUCACAAGCCUUUUUAAACUUUAUGGCUACUUUCAACAUAAUAAAUGUUGAAUUCCACCUUGUGGGCAAUCUAAACAUAUUAACUUCUUCGUUAAAAAAAAUAGCAUAUUAACUUCUUCAUAUGCACAGCUUGCUUGAAAUACUCUAAUCUUUGUGAAUAGCUCCUCACAAACCUCCCACAAUUACUUACGGAUAAAAGGCCUUGGUUAGCCUCUUCAUACCUUGACUCACAAUUAAGUUGGUUGAUGAGUAGAUUUUAUAUUAUAUAUUUUACCCUAAUCUUAGUAUAUUUUGGUUAAUAUUUUAGAAGAAUUUUGAUGCUUUGAAUUGUAUUUUC
rnacentral:lncRNA from 1 species